rnacentral:rRNA from 1 species
AGAGUUUGAUCCUGGCUCAGGAUGAACGCUGGCGGCGUGCCUAACACAUGCAAGUUGAGCGAUUUACUUCGGUAAAGAGCGGCGGACGGGUGAGUAACGCGUGGGUAACCUACCCUGUACACACGGAUAACAUACCGAAAGGUAUGCUAAUACGGGAUAAUAUAUUUGAGAGGCAUCUCUUAAAUAUCAAAGGUGAGCCAGUACAGGAUGGACCCGCGUCUGAUUAGCUAGUUGGUAAGGUAACGGCUUACCAAGGCGACGAUCAGUAGCCGACCUGAGAGGGUGAUCGGCCACAUUGGAACUGAGACACGGUCCAAACUCCUACGGGAGGCAGCAGUGGGGAAUAUUGCACAAUGGGCGAAAGCCUGAUGCAGCAACGCCGCGUGAGUGAUGAAGGCCUUCGGGUCGUAAAACUCUGUCCUCAAGGAAGAUAAUGACGGUACUUGAGGAGGAAGCCCCGGCUAACUACGUGCCAGCAGCCGCGGUAAUACGUAGGGGGCUAGCGUUAUCCGGAUUUACUGGGCGUAAAGGGUGCGUAGGCGGUCUUUCAAGUCAGGAGUGAAAGGCUACGGCUCAACCGUAGUAAGCUCUUGAAACUGGGAGACUUGAGUGCAGGAGAGGAGAGUGGAAUUCCUAGUGUAGCGGUGAAAUGCGUAGAUAUUAGGAGGAACACCAGUUGCGAAGGCGGCUCUCUGGACUGUAACUGACGCUGAGGCACGAAAGCGUGGGGAGCAAACAGGAUUAGAUACCCUGGUAGUCCACGCUGUAAACGAUGAGUACUAGGUGUCGGGGGUUACCCCC